GUGGUAAAAUUCACACAAUAUAAAGUUAAUCAUUUUAAAGUAAACAACUCAGUACCAAGAAGUAUCCACAGUGCUGUGCAAACACUACCUCUAUCUACUUCCAAAAUAUUUUCCUAAUCCCAAAAGCAAACCCUGUACCCAUGAAGUUGUUACUCUCCAUUCUGCUUCCCUCCAGCCUCGGUCAAUCACUAAUAUGUUUUCUGUCUCUACGAAUUUGCCUAUUCCGGGUAUUUCAUAUAAGUGAAAUGAAUCAUAUAAUAUGUGACCUUUUGCAUCUGGCUCCUUUCACUUAGCAUCAUGUUUUUGAGUUUCAUCUAUGUUGUAGCAUGUAUCAAAACAUCAUUCCUUUUAUUAGUGGGGUUUUAAAAUGGUACCUUGUAUCAUGACACUCCCCUGCUUAAAAACCUCCAAAGGGUUUCAAAACAUUGUUCUUCCUUGCUGUGGCUUACAAAAGCUUCAAUAGGACCCUCAAACCCACUGUCCAACUUCUUGUACCAUCAAAUUGCCACCCUCUGACUCACUGGUCCUUGACCACAUCAGUUCUCAUCCACCUCAGAGCCUUUGCACAUGCUAUUCCCUCUGCCUGGGACACUAUUCCCCAUCCUGCCUGUUAGUGGAGACCUACUCACCUUUAGGUAUCACUUCCUUUGAGAAGCUGACCUCAACCCUCAGAACUAAUCAGAUCUCCAGGCAUCACGUGCUCCCAGCACCAUCUGCCUUUUCUCACGCAUCCCAAUGCGCAUCAUGCAUUUCCUUAUGUGGUUACUGAGUGCCUGUCUCCCCCAUGGCCUGUGCUCACCACACAGGGAAGAACCUGUAUCCCCAGCACCUAACACACAGCAGGCACUCCACAGUGGCAGAGCCAGGAUCCGAUGCCAGGUCCAUCCAAGUCCAUGUCCCCCAACUCAGGCUGGGACCACCCAACAUCCUCCAACUUGGAGUAAUUCUAAAGGGCAUGGCCCAGUUUCCACCUGUGAUUUGGGAUGACUCUUUAUCAGUAUCUUCCCAGCUAACUCACAACUAUGGUUCCCUUGAUGGCAGAGAUGUACCUAAUUUCUUUUGCUAGCCUCUGGCCACCUCUGCCUAGAUCUCACAGACAAGCCCUGCACUCAAAAGGCUCUCUAUUGAUACCCAUUUGCCAGCCUGCCUCUCAGAGCCUUCUUCACAAAGAUUGCCAAGGGAAGUCCCAAACUGGUGGUUAGUCUUUGCACCAUUUCCUCUCCCAAAAGUUUGCUGGAUUUUGAGUUAAGGCGAAUCACCGGCUCACAUGGCUCCAUGGCUUCCUUGAGUGUGCGGCUUUGUCCCCUUGAACACAAGCGCUUUCACUGGCCAAAUCCCUCAGCAUCUCAUUAAUGGGGUCUGGGGCAUCUGGCCCUGAUGGUUGGGAGGAAAUGGCAGGCCUAGGAACAGGAAGCCCCUCACGGGUGUGGCAGGAGGACAGGCUCAAGUACUCAUUCUCACACACACCCUGGGGCGUGAAUCUGGUAGCCACUGUCCCAAACAGGAAAAAAUGCCCACUGGCCUACCCCAGGACUGCACAAGCUGCCCUCCCUCUCAAACUGGGCCAUUUAAAUCCUUAGCAGUUGUCUCAAUCUGAACAGCCAAGAGGAGACCUCCAGGAAAGAUGAUUUUCAAAACCAAAGAAUAACACUAGUUCUCGAGAGAGAAGGGAUGGAGGCAGGGGUGACUUGGGGCUCUCAGCUCAGCUUCUCAGAGCCCAGGGAAGGGGGAAGUUUGGAAAAUCAAAGGGCUGCUAAGUCUAACACUGGAAGGAUGUUUACUGAGAAUCCAUUCUGCUCCCUGGCCACAGGCAACAACCCUCAAUUCUGGCUCAAGAAUGCUCCAGACACGGCAAGAAUUAAGAGGGGCCCUGGCCAAAAAAAAAAAAAAAAAAA
rnacentral:lncRNA from 1 species